AGCACUGCAGACGAAGGAGAACUGGAGACAGUAUCGCCACUGGUCAGUACCUAUUGGUGACCCUACUGUAAUGGUAACGUUCGGACUUCCCUCUCAAUCCUACCCGAAAACUACAGAACAUGGAGGAACCUACAGUUUGGAAACGAAAAGCAUUCCUUGUUGAGUUGUUGUACCACACGUUCUUGUAGUUCUAGUAAUGAGAGUUCCUGGCACGAAAACCUGGGACAGUUCCUUUUGCCCUUCACCCUCUUGGAUUUGGUUGUCUCUACCGUUCAUUCACACAACGAAACAGUCAUGCUGAUGGAGGAGGAGUAGAAAUUAAAACUCUCCCGGCCAACGUUAAUUUUUGCCACCCCUGGUUUUUAGAAAAGACAAGCAAUUAAGAUAUCGGGAUAUUAUGUGCAAGUUAUUAUUAACAUUUAUUUUGCAGUUGUUAAUCAUAAUGCAACGUCCAAGCUAUAAACAUAUUUGUAAUUUCUUUCCGACAUGAAAAUCACGGCUAGUUUAGCGUUUGAUAAUGGAUAGUGCUUUAAUUUGAAAAUGAAAUCAUUCUAGAUAUAAAAUUUGCCGAGUCUAAAUCCUAUUUUUAAUACGAAAAAAGUGUAUCCGCAUUACCUAUCUUUGUUGAUUACGAAAGUGAUAAUGUAAAUAUCAAACUUUAAUUAUUUUUAUAAGAAGAAAUGCU